CUAUUUUUCACAUUCAAAAGACAAACAGUUAUUGUAUUAUAACUAUGGCACAAUUUUCCUACCUAAACAAACUCUUCUCUAAGUGGUGAAUUGCUGACAAUUGAUUGUUAUGACUGGGGGGAUGUUGUAGGUGGUUUUACAUUGGGGCACAAUCAUUUCAUCAUCAUGCAGGAUCUUCAACAGCUGAAACACUUUUUGCAGCAACUGGCUAAUAUACAGGGUCUAAAACAGCCAAACCCUCCUUAUUCUGUCCCAUGUACCUCAAUAAAGCACAUAGACAAGAGUUUUUUUUUUUUUUACGGGACAACUUUUUUUAGGUGCCUAAAACAUUUUUGGGGCCACCUGCAAUACACAGUGAGUGGAGUCGGAAGUAGACAUCUUGUGUAGGGGCUGUGCUAGAUGCUGGGUGUGCCUGAAGCAUACAUUGUGUGGAGGCUGUGCUGGGUUAGCAAUUUUGAUUCCAUUGAAGUAAAUGACAGCUUAAUUGCAGUAAGGGUGGGUCCACACCAUUAUUUUGCUAUACGGUUUCAUAAAAAAAAACGUAUGCAACCAUACAGAAAACCGUGCCCAUAGACUUCCCAUGCAAAACCGUAUGCACCAUAAUGCAUAAAUACAUACGGUUGUAUUCGUUUUCCAAACCAUACGGUUUUUAACUUUUUUUUUUCCGGACAGAAAACCAUGGCCUACCACAUUUUUUUGUCCGGUUAAAAAAACGUAUUUCAACCGUAUACAGUUAUUUUAACAUAGGACUCUAUGAGAAGCAUAAGUGUUUACAGUUCAGUCCGGGUUUGUCUAUCCGGUUUUUAACCUUGCACAUGCGCAUUACAAGCCGAAAGAACCACCCAUCUUCUGGAAUAUGCUGUGAACGCCCCUCCCUACUUCCUCAAGCCCCGGAGAAGUCAUUUUGCCUCAGAGUCUUGCAGAGCUGCCAUUUUGCUUAUUGAAACUCCAAGCCCAGAACAUCUCUUGGAUAGUCCACCGGUGUCUUAUACAAAAAAGAAGAAAUAUACACAGUUUAGUAUAGAUCCCAGUGACUUAAGCAGCGAAGCUGUAAUUGAUCUUUCUCAAGAG